rnacentral:rRNA from 1 species
GGGUCAGUAGGUUGGUCGUGCCACCGGUACGUACUGGUCUCACUGAUUCCUCCUUCCUGAAGAACCUUAAUGCCAUUAAUUUGGUGUUGCGGGGAAACAGGACUGUUACUUUGAAAAAAUUAGAGUGUUUAAAGCAAGCUAACGAUUGAAUACAUUAGCAUGGAAUAAUGAAAUAGGACGAUCGAUCCUAUUUUGUUGGUUUCUAGGAUUGACGUA